rnacentral:rRNA from 1 species
UGGGGAAUAUUGCGCAAUGGGGGCAACCCUGACGCAGCAACGCCGCGUGCGGGACGACGGCCUUCGGGUUGUAAACCGCUUUCAGCAGGGAAGAUAGUGACGGUACCUGCACAAGAAGCCCCGGCUAACUACGUGCCAGCAGCCGCGGUAAUACGUAGGGGGCGAGCGUUAUCCGGAUUCAUUGGGCGUAAAGCGCGCGCAGGCAGCUCUUCAAGCGGAACCUCUAACCCCGGGGCUCAACCUCGGGCCGGGUUCCGAACUGGAGGGCUCGAGUGCGGUAGAGGCAGGCGGAAUUCCCGGUGUAGCGGUGGAAUGCGCAGAUAUCGGGAAGAACACCGAUGGCGAAGGCAGCCUGCUGGGCCGGCACUGACGCUGAGGCGCGAAAGCUAGGGGAGCGAACAGG